rnacentral:rRNA from 1 species
GUAUAAUGGGUCAGCGACUUAUAUUCUGUAGCAAGGUUAACCGAAUAGGGGAGCCGGAGGGAAACCGAGUCUUAAUUGGGCGUUAAGUUGCAGGGUAUAGACCCGAAACCCGGUGAUCUAGCCAUGGGCAGGUUGAAGGUUGGGUAACACUAACUGGAGGACCGAACCGACUAAUGUUGAAAAAUUAGCGGAUGACCUGUGGCUGGGGGUGAAAGGCCAAUCAAACCGGGAGAUAGCUGGUUCUCCCCGAAAGCUAUUUAGGUAGCGCCUCGUGAAUUCAUCUCCGGGGGUAGAGCACUGUUUCGGCUAGGGGGCCAUCCCGGCUUACCAACCCGAUGCAAACUGCGAAUACCGGAGAAUGUUAUCACGGGAGACACACGGCGGGUGCUAACGUCCGUCGUGAAGAGGGAAACAACCCAGACCGCCAGCUAAGGUCCCAAAGUCAUAGUUAAGUGGGAAACGAUGUGGGAAGGCCCAGACAGCCAGGAUGUUGGCUUAGAAGCAGCCAUCAUUUAAAGAAAGCGUAAUAGCUCACUGGUCGAGUCGGCCUGCGCGGAAGAUGUAACGGGGCUAAACUAUGCACCGAAGCUGCGGCAGCGACACUAUGUGUUGUUGGGUAGGGGAGCGUUCUGUAAGCCUGUGAAGGUGUGUCGUGAGGCAUGCUGGAGGUAUCAGAAGUGCGAAUGCUGACAUAAGUAACGAUAAAGCGGGUGAAAAGCCCGCUCGCCGGAAGACCAAGGGUUCCUGUCCAACGUUAAUCGGGGCAGGGUGAGUCGACCCCUAAGGCGAGGCCGAAAGGCGUAGUCGAUGGGAAACGGGUUAAUAUUCCCGUACUUGGUGUUACUGCGAAGGGGGGACGGAGAAGGCUAUGUUGGCCGGGCGACGGUUGUCCCGGUUUAAGCGUGUAGGUGUGUGUUCCAGGUAAAUCCGGUUCACUUUAACACUGAGGCGUGAUGACGAGGCACUACGGUGCUGAAGCAACAAAUGCCCUGCUUCCAGGAAAAGCCUCUAAGCAUCAGGUAACAUCAAAUCGUACCCCAAACCGACACAGGUGGUCAGGUAGAGAAUACCAAGGCGCUUGAGAGAACUCGGGUGAAGGAACUAGGCAAAAUGGUGCCGUAACUUCGGGAGAAGGCACGCUGACACGUAGGUGAAGUGAUUUACUCAUGGAGCUGAAGUCAGUCGAAGAUACCAGCUGGCUGCAACUGUUUAUUAAAAACACAGCACUGUGCAAACACGAAAGUGGACGUAUACGGUGUGACGCCUGCCCGGUGCCGGAAGGUUAAUUGAUGGGGUCAGCGCAAGCGAAGCUCCUGAUCGAAGCCCCGGUAAACGGCGGCCGUAACUAUAACGGUCCUAAGGUAGCGAAAUUCCUUGUCGGGUAAGUUCCGACCUGCACGAAUGGCGUAAUGAUGGCCAGGCUGUCUCCACCCGAGACUCAGUGAAAUUGAACUCGCUGUGAAGAUGCAGUGUACCCGCGGCAAGACGGAAAGACCCCGUGAACCUUUACUAUAGCUUGACACUGAACAUUGAGCCUUGAUGUGUAGGAUAGGUGGGAGGCUUUGAAGUGUGGACGCCAGUCUGCAUGGAGCCGACCUUGAAAUACCACCCUUUAAUGUUUGAUGUUCUAACGUGGACCCGUGAUCCGGGUUGCGGACAGUGUCUGGUGGGUAGUUUGACUGGGGCGGUCUCCUCCUAAAGAGUAACGGAGGAGCACGAAGGUUGGCUAAUCCUGGUCGGACAUCAGGAGGUUAGUGCAAUGGCAUAAGCCAGCUUGACUGCGAGCGUGACGGCGCGAGCAGGUGCGAAAGCAGGUCAUAGUGAUCCGGUGGUUCUGAAUGGAAGGGCCAUCGCUCAACGGAUAAAAGGUACUCCGGGGAUAACAGGCUGAUACCGCCCAAGAGUUCAUAUCGACGGCGGUGUUUGGCACCUCGAUGUCGGCUCAUCACAUCCUGGGGCUGAAGUAGGUCCCAAGGGUAUGGCUGUUCGCCAUUUAAAGUGGUACGCGAGCUGGGUUUAGAACGUCGUGAGACAGUUCGGUCCCUAUCUGCCGUGGGCGCUGGAGAACUGAGGGGGGCUGCUCCUAGUACGAGAGGACCGGAGUGGACGCAUCACUGGUGUUCGGGUUGUCAUGCCAAUGGCACUGCCCGGUAGCUAAAUGCGGAAGAGAUAAGUGCUGAAAGCAUCUAAGCACGAAACUUGCCCCGAG